rnacentral:rRNA from 1 species
UUGCAUAUCCCCUUAGCGGAGGAAAGGAAACCAACAGGGAUUGCCUUAGUAACGGCGAGUGAAGCGGCAAAAGCUCAAAUUUGAAAUCUGGCACCUUCGGUGUCCGAGUUGUAAUUUGAAGAAGGUAACUUUGGAGUUGGCUCUUGUCUAUGUUCCUUGGAACAGGACGUCACAGAGGGUGAGAAUCCCGUGCGAUGAGAUGCCCAAUUCUAUGUAAAGUGCUUUCGAAGAGUCGAGUUGUUUGGGAAUGCAGCUCUAAGUGGGUGGUAAAUUCCAUCUAAAGCUAAAUAUUGGCGAGAGACCGAUAGCGAACAAGUACAGUGAUGGAAAGAUGAAAAGAACUUUGAAAAGAGAGUGAAAAAGUACGUGAAAUUGUUGAAAGGGAAGGGCUUGAGAUCAGACUUGGUAUUUUGCGAUCCUUUCCUUCUUGGUUGGGUUCCUCGCAGCUUACUGGGCCAGCAUCGGUUUGGAUGGUAGGAUAAUGA